rnacentral:piRNA from 1 species
UGGUUCCUUCUUGUGCAUCAUAUAACA